AUACGGAGGGUGCGAGCGUUAAUCGGAAUUACUGGGCGUAAAGCGUACGUAGGCGGUUUGCUAAGUCAGAUGUGAAAGCCCCGGGCUUAACCUGGGAACUGCAUUUGAUACUGGCAGACUAGAGUAUGAUAGAGGGGGGUAGAAUUCCUGGUGUAGCGGUGAAAUGCGUAGAUAUCAGGAGGAAUACCAGUGGCGAAGGCGGCCCCCUGGAUCAAUACUGACGCUGAGGUACGAAAGCGUGGGGAGCGAACAGGAUUAGAUACCCUUGUAGUCC
rnacentral:rRNA from 1 species